rnacentral:rRNA from 1 species
GACGAACGCUGGCGGCGUGCUUAACACAUGCAAGUCGAACGGAAAGGCCCUGCUUUUGUGGGGUGCUCGAGUGGCGAACGGGUGAGUAACACGUGAGUAACCUGCCCUUGACUUUGGGAUAACUUCAGGAAACUGGGGCUAAUACCGGAUAGGAGCUCCUGCUGCAUGGUGGGGGUUGGAAAGUUUCGGCGGUUGGGGAUGGACUCGCGGCUUAUCAGCUUGUUGGUGGGGUAGUGGCUUACCAAGGCUUUGACGGGUAGCCGGCCUGAGAGGGUGACCGGCCACAUUGGGACUGAGAUACGGCCCAGACUCCUACGGGAGGCAGCAGUGGGGAAUAUUGCACAAUGGGCGGAAGCCUGAUGCAGCAACGCCGCGUGCGGGAUGACGGCCUUCGAGUUGUAAACCGAUUUCGCCUGUGACGAAGCGUGAGUGACGGUAAUGGGUAAAGAAGCACCGGCUAACUACGUG